UACGUAGGGGGCAAGCGUUGUUCGGAAUUACUGGGCGUAAAGGGCGCGUAGGCGGCACAGCAAGUCGGGAGUGAAAGCCCCGGGCUCAACCUGGGAAUUGCGAUGAAGACUGCAAGGCUUGAAUCUGGCAGAGGGGGGUAGAAUUCCACGUGUAGCAGUGAAAUGCGUAGAGAUGUGGAGGAACACCGAUGGCGAAGGCAGCCCCCUGGGUCAAGAUUGACGCUCAUGCACGAAAGCGUGGGGAGCAAACAGG
rnacentral:rRNA from 1 species